GGUAAAUGCACCAAUGCUCGACAUGUUCGAUCACUACAAAUUGAGCAUUCUCAGAAAAUGCACUAACGCUCCACAUAAGUGUAAAAAAGUCUUAAAUGGGUAUAAUUUAUAUAUUUUGUAAAAAGUGAGUUUUUUUUAGGUUUGGUCUUUCAAAAGACAUUGAAAUUUCUCACUCUGCAUGUGGUUGAAGGAGACUGAUGAAGAAUUGCUUUAAAUUAGACUCCAAAUCUGGGAUGGCAUCUCUUAUGAUUCUUGAAGUACUGUAGCAAAUCUGUGUAAUGAAGAUUUAACACAAUAUUCCUCAAAAAAUGAAUGUUAGUAAUUUAACUGAAAAAAAAUACGAGAAUUUACAUUGAUGAGCCUUGUCAACACGAUAUAUUCCAGAUCUUUCCUGUACGUAUCCAUCAAGUGAAGCAAAGAUGAGAACGGUGUCAAGCACGCCUCACAGAGAGCAAACGCGUCGUCCAAAAUCCCUUUCAAAGAAGAUUAAACUGAAUUUGUAAAGCUUGAAUCUCUGNACCAAUGCUCGACAUGCUCGAUCACUACAAAUUGAGCAUUCUCAGAAAAUAUAUUAAUGCUCGACAUACUCAACCAUUGCAAGUUGUGCAGUCGAGCAUUAGUGCAAAAUGCACUAACGCUUGACAUAAGGGUAAAGAAGUCCUAAAUGGGUAUAAUUUAUAUAUUUUGUAAAAGGUGAGUUUUUUUUAGGUUUGAUCUUUCAAAAGACAUUGAUAUUUCUCACUCUGCAUGUGGUUGAAGGAGACUGAUGAAGAAUUGCUUUAAAUUAGACUCCAAAUCUGG
rnacentral:lncRNA from 1 species